rnacentral:misc_RNA from 1 species
UUAUACGAUUGCAACUUCCCAGACAACACUGUUUAAAUGGGUCAGGUGGGUCUCUGGCAGGCGCUCUCCAGCCACGAGGACCGGCGGCCACUAGGGCCGGCCCGCCAAAGCAACAAGAUCAGGUAGACACGGGUGGGAGUAGGGACAGUGUCCCAGUACUCUUUAAUGAUCCUUCCGCAGGUUCACCUACGGAAA